rnacentral:rRNA from 1 species
GAUGAACGCUGGCGGCGUGCCUAAUACAUGCAAGUCGAGCGAACAGACGAGGAGCUUGCUCCUCUGACGUUAGCGGCGGACGGGUGAGUAACACGUGGAUAACCUACCUAUAAGACUGGGAGAACUUCGGGAAACCGGAGCUAAUACCGGAUAAUAUAUUGAACCGCAUGGUUCAAUAGUGAAAGACGGUUUUGCUGUCACUUAUAGAUGGAUCCGCGCCGCAUUAGCUAGUUGGUAAGGUAACGGCUUACCAAGGCGACGAUGCGUAGCCGACCUGAGAGGGUGAUCGGCCACACUGGAACUGAGACACGGUCCAGACUCCUACGGGAGGCAGCAGUAGGGAAUCUUCCGCAAUGGGCGAAAGCUUGACGGAGCAACGCCGCGUGAGUGAUGAAGGUCUUCGGAUCGUAAAGCUCUGUUAUUAGGGAAGAACAAAUGUGUAAGUAACUAUGCACGUCUUGACGGUACCUAAUCAGAAAGCCACGGCUAACUACGUG